GGUAUCUUGUCGGAGUGCCCAACAAGCCUUAUGGCGCGUGGGCUGAGACCGUUAAUUCGGGAUCCGCGGAACCUGAUCAGGUUAAGACCUGCGAAGGGAACAAGAGUAAUUAUAUU
rnacentral:ncRNA from 2 species